AAGAAAUAAAUUCGUUAUCUUGAUGUAAUCAGGGGUGUACGGAAUUUUACACCGUUGUUGAAAAUUCAUACACCCAUUCGGCUGCGCCUCAGGGUGUAUAAAUUUUCAUCAACGGUGUAAAAUUCUGUACACCCCUGAUUACACCAAAAUAACUAAUAUUAUUUCUUAUGCAGCAAAAAUACUAUAAUCUGAUUGGUUGACUACCCCGGUGUAAAUAACACCCUACUCUUGUUCACCCGGG
rnacentral:lncRNA from 1 species